GAUGAACGCUGGCGGCGUGCCUAAUACAUGCAAGCCGAGCGAACGGACGAGAAGCUUGCUUCUCUGAUGUUAGCGGCGGACGGGUGAGUAACACGUGGAUAACCUACCUAUAAGACUGGGAUAACUUCGGGAAACCGGAGCUAAUACCGGAUAAUAUUUUGAACCGCAUGGUUCAAAAGUGAAAGACGGUCUUGCUGUCACUUAUAGAUGGAUCCGCGCUGCAUUAGCUAGUUGGUAAGGUAACGGCUUACCAAGGCAACGAUGCAUAGCCGACCUGAGAGGGUGAUCGGCCACACUGGAACUGAGACACGGUCCAGACUCCUACGGGAGGCAGCAGUAGGGAAUCUUCCGCAAAGGGCGAAAGCCUGACGGAGCAACGCCGCGUGAGUGAUGAAGGUCUUCGGAUCGUAAAACUCUGUUAUUAGGGAAGAACAUAUGUGUAAGUAACUGUGCACAUCUUGACGGUACCUAAUCAGAAAGCCACGGCUAACUACGUG
rnacentral:rRNA from 1 species